rnacentral:rRNA from 1 species
GACGAACGCUGGCGGCGUGCUUAACACAUGCAAGUCGAACGGAAAGGCCCUGCUUUUGUGGGGUGCUCGAGUGGCGAACGGGUGAGUAACACGUGAGUAACCUGCCCUUGACUUUGGGAUAACUUCAGGAAACUGGGGCUAAUACCGGAUAGAAGCUCCUGCUGCAUGGUGGGGGUUGGAAAGUUUCGGCGGUUGGGGAUGGACUCGCGGCUUAUCAGCUUGUUGGUGGGGUAGUGGCUUACCAAGGCUUUGACGGGUAGCCGGCCUGAGAGGGUGACCGGCCACAUUGGGACUGAGAUACGGCCCAGAAUCCUACGGGAGGCAGCAGUGGGGAAUAUUGCACAAUGGGCGGAAGCCUGAUGCAGCAACGCCGCGUGCGGGAUGCCGGCCUUCGGGUUGUAAACCGCUGUCGCCUGUGACGAAGCGUGAGUGACGGUAAUGGGUAAAGAAGCGCCGGCUAACUACGUG